GCUGGCCAAGGUGGCGCACGCCUGUAAUCCUGACUCCUCAGAAGGCUGAGGCAGGAGGAUUGCAAGUUCAAGGCCAGCCUCAGCAACUUGGUGAGGGCCUAAACAACUUGGCAAGACCCUGUCUCAA
rnacentral:sRNA from 1 species